rnacentral:rRNA from 1 species
UCAAGCGAAUAAGCGCACACGGUGGAUGCCUUGGCGGUCAGAGGCGAUGAAGGACGUGGCAGCCUGCGAAAAGUAUCGGGGAGCUGGCAACAAGCUUUGAUCCGGUAAUGUCCGAAUGGGGAAACCCACCCGCUUGCGGGUAUCCUGCAGUGAAUACAUAGCUGCUGGAAGCGAACCUGGUGAACUGAAAUAUCUAAGUAACCAGAGGAAAAGAAAUCAACCGAGAUUCCGUAAGUAGCGACGAGCGAACGCGGACUAGCCCUUAAGCUGGAUUGGUUCUAGGAAAACGCUCUGGAAAGAGCGGCCAUAGAAGGUGAUAGCCCUGUAUCUGAAAGGGCCAUUCCAGUGAAGACGAGUAGGGCGGGGCACGUGAAACCCUGUCUGAACAUGGGGGGACCAUCCUCCAAGGCUAAAUACUACUGACCGACCGAUAGUGAACCAGUACCGUGAGGGAAAGGCGAAAAGAACCCCGGAGAGGGGAGUGAAAUAGAACCUGAAACCGUGUGCGUACAAGCAGUAGGAGCUCCGCAAGGAGUGACUGCGUACCUUUUGUAUAAUGGGUCAGCGACUUACUGUUCGUGGCAAGCUUAACCGUAUAGGGGAGGCGAAGGGAAACCGAGUCUGAUAAGGGCGCAUAGUCGCGGGCAGUAGACCCGAAACCGGGUGAUCUAGUCAUGCCCAGGGUGAAGGUGCGGUAACACGCACUGGAGGCCCGAACCCACUCCCGUUGCAAAGGUAGGGGAUGAGGUGUGAUUAGGAGUGAAAAGCUAAUCGAACCCGGAGAUAGCUGGUUCUCCUCGAAAGCUAUUUAGGUAGCGCCUCAUAUGUAUCCUCUCGGGGGUAGAGCACUGUUAUGGCUAGGGGGUCAUCGCGACUUACCAAACCAUUGCAAACUCCGAAUACCGAGACGGACUGUAUGGGAGACACACGGCGGGUGCUAACGUCCGUCGUGAAAAGGGAAACAACCCAGACCCACAGCUAAGGUCCCAAAUUCACUGCUAAGUGGAAAACCAUGUGGAAAGGCACAGACAGCCAGGAGGUUGGCUUAGAAGCAGCCACCCUUUAAAGAAAGCGUAAUAGCUCACUGGUCGAGUCGGUCUGCGGGGAAGAUUUAACGGGGCUAAGCAGUGAACCGAAGCUUGGGGUGCAUAACUUUGUUAUGCGCGGUAGAGGAGCGUUCCGUAAGCCGUUGAAGGUGGAUUGAGAAGUCUGCUGGAGGUAUCGGAAGUGCGAAUGCUGACAUGAGUAACGAUAAUGCGGGUGAAAAACCCGCACGCCGAAAGCCCAAGGUUUCCUUGCGCAACGUUAAUCGGCGCAGGGUGAGUCGGCCCCUAAGGCGAGGACGAAAGUCGUAGUCGAUGGGAAGCAGGUUAAUAUUCCUGCACCUCGCGUAAGUGCGAUGGAGGGACGGAGAAGGUUAGGUGUACCAGGCGUUGGUUGUCCUGGGGAAAGGCGGUAGGUUUGGAUCUUUGGCAAAUCCGGGAUCCUUUAAGACCGAGCACCGAGACGAGCCUUUAUGGCGAAGUCACUGAUACCACGCUUCCAGGAAAAGCUCCUAAGCUUCAGCUUACGCAGACCGUACCGUAAACCGACACAGGUGGGUAGGAUGAGAAUUCUCAGGCGCUUGAGAGAACUCGGGUGAAGGAACUAGGCAACAUGGCACCGUAACUUCGGGAGAAGGUGCACCCUUUUUGGUGGCUCGUGCGAGCUAUAGCUGAAGAGGGUCGCAGUAACCAGGCCGCUGCGACUGUUUAUCAAAAACACAGCACUCUGCAAACACGAAAGUGGACGUAUAGGGUGUGACGCCUGCCCGGUGCUGGAAGGUUAAUUGAUGGGGUCAGCCGCAAGGCGAAGCUCUUGAUCGAAGCCCCAGUAAACGGCGGCCGUAACUAUAACGGUCCUAAGGUAGCGAAAUUCCUUGUCGGGUAAGUUCCGACCUGCACGAAUGGCGUAACGACAGCGGCGCUGUCUCCACCCGAGACUCAGUGAAAUUGAAAUCGCUGUGAAGAUGCAGCGUUCCCGUGGCAAGACGGAAAGACCCCGUGAACCUUUACUAUAGCUUUACACUGAACGUUGAGUUCGUCUGUGUAGGAUAGGUGGGAGGCUAUGAAACNNUGGCGCUAGCUGUGGCGGAGCCAUCCUUGAAAUACCACCCUGUCGUGCUUGACGUUCUAACCUGGGCCCAUUAUCUGGGUCGGGGACCGUGUAUGGUGGGUAGUUUGACUGGGGCGGUCUCCUCCUAAAGAGUAACGGAGGAGCUCGAAGGUACGCUCAGCGCGGUCGGACAUCGCGCACUGUGUGCAAAGGCAUAAGCGUGCUUGACUGCAAGAUCGACGGAUCAAGCAGGUAGGAAACUAGGACUUAGUGAUCCGGUGGUUCUGUAUGGAAGGGCCAUCGCUCAACGGAUAAAAGGUACUCCGGGGAUAACAGGCUGAUACCGCCCAAGAGUUCAUAUCGACGGCGGUGUUUGGCACCUCGAUGUCGGCUCAUCACAUCCUGGGGCUGUAGUCGGUCCCAAGGGUAUGGCUGUUCGCCAUUUAAAGUGGUACGCGAGCUGGGUUCAGAACGUCGUGAGACAGUUCGGUCCCUAUCUGCCAUGGGCGUUGGAGAUUUGAGAGGGGCUGCUCCUAGUACGAGAGGACCGGAGUGGACGAACCUCUGGUGUUCCGGUUGUCACGCCAGUGGCAUUGCCGGGUAGCUAUGUUCGGAAGCGAUAACCGCUGAAAGCAUCUAAGCGGGAAGCGCGCCUCAAGAUGAGAUCUCCCGGGGCACAAGCCCCCUGAAGGAACCAUGUAGACUACGUGGUUGAUAGGUCAGGUGUGUAAGUACAGCAAUGUAUUGAGCUAACUGAUACUAAUGAUCCGUGCGGCUUGACCA